rnacentral:misc_RNA from 1 species
GGAUGGGCGGGUCGGAAGCAGAGAGGAAAAUUCGCGACAGCUCCGACGACGCGACGUCGAGAACGACGAAGCGGAGGCAAAGGCAGAAAAGGUGCAAUUAGUUAGGUAACAGGCCGCGGGAAUGAAACGCAGCGGAAUUAGCAGACGGCCGCUAUCGAAGAUCAGAGAAAAGUUUGUCCGACCGCGGAUACGCUGUGUUGGUCGGUUUCUCGAUUGUAAGAUAGAAAGACGCGGACGAGAUCGAGGUCGAAGACGAGACCGAGAGAAACGUCGUCACCGAUGGCAAGAGGAAGGUAAAUACCACUUUGGGAAACGUACGGACCGGCCACGAUCCAACAACGGCAAGAUGCUUCCCUCUCGAAACGUAGUUUCGCCAACGCCAAAGUCCCGUCGGACUAAAAAAGACUGGCAAGCCGUUGUUGCGUGGAAUGGGUGUGUCGGCCGUCGGUCGAGGAAAGGAAUAAGGUUAAACCCUGCGGGGUAAAAUCAGACACCACCUGUUAUCGCAACGACGUGGAAAUCGAUAGGUACGGCGAAGAAGAAUCCGUUUCCCUCGUCUUUCUCCUUCUUCUCUCGGUCUUCUUUUCUUUUUUUUUUUUCCUCCUAUCCUCGUUCCCUUUAUCUUCUCUUUUCUCACGGUUUGUUCGUAAUUUUUCUUUAACGACUCGAAACGAACACCGGACUCCAUCGAUUCGCUCGUCACACCGAGAGGCGAUUGUUGGCUUUAGUUUUCUUUGGAAGAAACUCGAGCGAGAUCGAAGGAAGAAAGAGAACGUGCAACGAAAUUUCAUCGAACGCGAGCCGCGACCAACGUUGGCGAUCGCAGAGAAACCUCUGUCGGCGAAUCGCUCGGAUCGACCGAAUUCUCGCACCACUGUGUACCCUUUCGAUCUACGCUUUCAUUUAGCCAGCCGACUAUAUUAAUUAUCGUCCGCGCAAUAUGCAUAUCGUACGAAAGUCUGAAUAAUACGUUCGCCGUUAAUCACGCGCGUAUCGAUGCUGGCGGUGUUCCCCGAGUUUGGAUAAUACGGUCGAAUUCGAUUCUUUGAAAUUUAUAAUACACGGCGCGCGUGAAAUAGCCCCGGAUUUCCACGUUCGCCUCGUCGUGCCUCCCUGUAAAAUCGAGCACCGUUAUCAAGGAGAAUAAAGCGAGCUCGAUAAAUUUGGUGACGCGCGUGAUUCGUCGCCGACGCAAUGGGAAACGACGCGAUACGAUACCUUCGAUAAAAGCGCGUCAUUUAAUUAUCCUCGGUAACUUUUUAGCCAGGGACGUCGAUGGAAAAUUACGGGUCGGCGAGCGACGCGCGACGCUGCAAUUAUCCUGCUACAUCGUUUCCAGCCGUAACUUGCGCGUAAUCCAACGAAAUUCGCCCACCUUUGAUAUCGAAACGAAAUUAUUUUCCGGAACGCGCAAUUUCAUCGCGCAACCGACGCUACACCACGUCGAUCGUUUUACGUUGCCGCGCGAAAUCACCCAUGAAAA